UACGUAGGGUGCAAGCGUUAAUCGGAAUUACUGGGCGUAAAGCGUGCGCAGGCGGUUAUGCAAGACAGAUGUGAAAUCCCCGGGCUCAACCUGGGAACUGCAUUUGUGACUGCAUGGCUAGAGUACGGUAGAGGGGGAUGGAAUUCCGCGUGUAGCAGUGAAAUGCGUAGAGAUGCGGAGGAACACCGAUGGCGAAGGCAGCCCCCUGGGCCAAUACUGACGCUCAGGCACGAAAGCGUGGGGAGCAAACAGG
rnacentral:rRNA from 1 species